ACCCACAUACAAAUGAUAAUCUAGACAGAUAUAAAUAGAUUGUAGACAAUUCUGUUAUUAGUAAUUUUCUACUUUUGAGCAUGACUUGUUUCUGAUAUGUUUAGAAAUAAAAUGCUUAUAAAUUUAUGGAGUAGUAUUUUUAUGUUCAGUGAAUUGAAAUUAUUAUUUUUUUUAAGAUGGAGUUUUCACUCUUGUCGCCCAGGCUGGAGUGCAGAUUGCUAGAAAGUAAAGAAGUGCUUAAAAAAAAAGAAAGAAAUAGGAACAUAUCCAAAGGACAAAGAAGCCAACUGAAAGCACUCCCAGUUGCCAAAGUUGGAACCAUGCAGGUAUAAACACAAAACUUGCUGUGCUGUCAGUCUUAUAGCACAUAAAAUCGUGUUCAGUGUAUAAUACUAAUGAUAAUAAACAACUAUGUUACCAGUUUACAUGUUUAUUAUAUUAUACUUUUUCAUUACUUUAAAGUGUACUUAUUAUACUUGUGUUUUUAAAAAGUUAACUCUAAAAGAGUUGCAGGCAGUACCUUCAAGAAUUAUUCCAGAACAAGGCAUUGUGAUCACAGGAGACGACAGCUCCAUGCAUGUUAUUGCCCCUGAAGGCCUUCUAGUGGGACAAAGUGUGGAGGUGAACAUUACACUGAUGACCUUGACCCUGUGUAGGCCUAAGCUAAUGUGUAUGUUAGUGUCUUAGUUUGUUGAAAAGAGAUUCCUAUUUCAUGGACACUAAAUACAAGUUUAUAAAUUAAAAAUAUAAAAUUAAAAGUAGAAAGAGCUUAUAGAAUAAAGAAAGAAACUAUUUUGUACUGCU
rnacentral:lncRNA from 1 species